GCUGAGGGAAACCAGUUGGGCAAUAUUCAACAAGUGUUUAUUGAUCCCUGAUUAGGUCCCAGCCAGUGUGCAACUUUGUUUCAUAACAUUAAAAUAUGUUGCAAGUUGGCUCUGUAUGAUUAUCCCAGCAAGGGAAGAGAACACAGAGGGGGCUAUGCCAGCAGUUGAAGAUGUCAAAGCAGACUUGUUAUAUGAGUCCACCUACCUCGAAAAAAGGUCUAAAUUCAGAAACUAACAUCCGGACCAGGGAAGCUGAGGUGACUGAUGACCGCGCUUGUGUUUGCACAUACAGUAUUGUACUACAUUUUCAAUCACAUUUCGCAUCGGAUAACUCUAAGACAGAUGAGGUCCACCUGCUCCAGGUGCCGCGGCCUCCAGGAACCAUCAGGAACUGCCCCGGGGUGGGGCCAGGACAGCGGAGCCGUCAAGAAGUCAGAUGUCUUCAGCAGUUGUUUAACUCUGAAAUUCAAGGUGUGGGGAAAGUCUCUCCAGAAAUAGGGUUUCUUUUAAGGUUUUUUUUUUGUUGUUGUUGUUCUGUUUUUCACAUGGUUGGAGUCUCCUGUGUAUGAUGGCCAAUCUAUUAUGCAAUUUUUGUAGCUCUGAAGUGAUAAU
rnacentral:lncRNA from 1 species